AUACGUAGGUGGCGAGCGUUGUCCGGAUUUACUGGGCGUAAAGGGAGCGUAGGUGGAUUUUUUAAGUGGAGAUGUGAAAUACUCGGGCUUAACCUGAGUGCUGCAUUUCAAACUGGAAGUCUAGAGUGCAGGAGAGGAGAAGGGAAUUCCUAGUGUAGCGGUGAAAUGCGUAGAGAUUAGGAAGAACACCAGUGGCGAAGGCGCUUCUCUGGACUGUAACUGACGCUGAGGCUCGAAAGCGUGGGGAGC
rnacentral:rRNA from 1 species